rnacentral:rRNA from 1 species
UACGGGGGGGGCAAGCGUUGUUCGGAAUUACUGGGCGUAAAGGGUUCGUAGGUGGCUUGUUAAGUCAGACGUGAAAUCCCUCGGCUCAACCGGGGAACUGCGUCUGAGACUGAUGAGCUUGAGUGCAGGAGAGGAACGCGGAGUUCCAGGUGUAGCGGUGAAAUGCGUAGAUAUCUGGAGGAACACCGGUGGCGAAGGCGGCGUUCUGGACUGCAACUGACACUGAGGAACGAAAGCCAGGGGAGCAAACGGG